UUUCAGAGCAUUGAGAUUCCAAAGCACAAGU
rnacentral:piRNA from 1 species